rnacentral:rRNA from 1 species
GAUGAACGCUAGCUACAGGCUUAACACAUGCAAGUCGAGGGACCGGCGCACGGGUGAGUCACACGUAUCCAACCUGCCCUUUACUCGGGGAUAGCCUUUCGAAAGAAAGAUUAAUACCCGAUAUAAAGGAUGGGGAUGCGUUCCAUUAGGUUGUUGGUGAGGUAAUGGCUCACCAAGCCUUCGAUGGAUAGGGGUUCUGAGAGGAAGGUCCCCCACAGUGGAACUGAGACACGGUCCAAAAUCGUACGGGAGGCAGCGGUGAGGAAUAUUGGUCAAUGGGCGCUGGCCUGAAACAGCCAAGUAGCGUGAAGGAGGAAUUCGUAUGGGUCGUAAACUUCUUUUAUAUAAGAAAAUGUAUUAUAUGAAUAAGGAUCGGCUAACUCCGUGCCAGCAGCCGCAGUAAUAC